GAACUUUCCAGAGAUGGAUUGGUGCCUUCGGGAACUCUGAGACAGGUGCUGCAUGGCUGUCGUCAGCUCGUGUUGUGAAAUGUUGGGUUAAGUCCCGCAACGAGCGCAACCCUUAUCCUUUGUUGCCAGCGGUUAGGCCGGGAACUCAAAGGAGACUGCCAGUGAUAAACUGGAGGAAGGUGGGGAUGACGUCAAGUCAUCAUGGCCCUUACGAGUAGGGCUACACACGUGCUACAAUGGCGCAUACAAAGAGAAGCGACCUCGCGAGAGCAAGCGGACCUCAUAAAGUGCGUCGUAGUCCGGAUUGGAGUCUGCAACUCGACUCCAUGAAGUCGGAAUCGCUAGUAAUCGUGGAUCAGAAUGCCACGGUGAAUACGUUCCCGGGCCUUGUACACACCGCCCGUCACACCAUGGGAGUGGGUUGCAAAAGAAGUAGGUAGCUUAACCUUCGGGAGGGCGCUUACCACUUUGUGAUUCAUGACUGGGGUGAAGUCGUAACAAGGUAGGCGUAGUGCU
rnacentral:rRNA from 1 species